rnacentral:tRNA from 1 species
GCCCGGAUGGUGGAAUGGUAGACACGGGGGACUUAAAAUCCCCUGACCUCAACAGUCGUGCCGGUUCGAGUCCGGCUCUGGGCACAA